rnacentral:rRNA from 1 species
AGAACGAACGCUGGCGGCAUGCCUAAUACAUGCAAGUCGAACGAACACUUCGGUGUUAGUGGCGCACGGGUGCGUAACGCGUGGGAAUCUGCCCUUGGGUUCGGAAUAACAGUUGGAACGACUGCUAAUACCGGGAUGAUAUCGAAAGAUCAAAGAUUUAUCGCCCAGGGAUGAGCUCGCGUAGGAUUAGCUAGUUGGUGAGGUAAAGGCUCACCAAGGCGACGAUCCUUUAAGCUGGUCUGAGAGGAUGAUCAGCCACACUGGGACUGAGACACGGCCCAGACUCCGUACGGGAGGCAGCAGGUAGGGAAUAUUGGACAAUGGGCGCAAGCCUGAUCCAGCAAGUCGACCGCGUAGAGUGAGUGAAGGGUCCCUUAAGGGGGUUAGGUUAAAG